UACUAUAAUUAGUUAAUUUCUAAGGGCAUAUGCAAGGGUGCAUCUUUGAAGUUUGAUCUUAAGGGAGAAAAAAUAUUAAAAUAUUGUAAGAGCUUUAAUUAAGAUCUUUUGUAAAGUAAGUGAUUAUUGGUAGAACAUGUUUAGAUCAUAGGAAUUGAUUUGAAAUUGAAAUAAUGUAAGAACAUUAGUUUACAAUUUUAAAAACUUUAAGAAAUAACUUUUAAAUUGCAAACUUAAAAAACUUAUAAUAAAUAGAUUUGAAAAUAAAAAGAAACACAAAAUAUAAUAUCAAAUUUUUAUGAAACAACAAAGAACAUUAAAGAUAUAAAUAAAAAAAACAAACAAACAAACAUAUUAUUUAAUUAAACCCUAGCAUAGAUUUCGGAUCGAAGGAGAAAUGAAAUGUUUUUUUCCUUUGCAAAAAUUCGUAGCCAAUGAUGAAGCGCCACGUCACGCUAAAACUGGGCCAAGAACAGUUCUACAACAAGAACAGAUAUACAACAGAUCUAACACUAUUCACAAUAUUUUCUAUUUUUAAAAGGCUAAGAACACCUAAGUGUUCUCCCUUUAAAUAUGGCCUAAGUACUUUGAUCCCACUUCUUUAGUGUGUCGCUCUCAUGUUUUCAGAUUCUAUCGUAUAUUCGAAGUUUAAAAAGUUUGUUUUUACGAAGAAUCUACAAAAGUUUGAACUAUCCAGCUAUAAAUUUUCUAUCCAUUUAUAUAUCCGAUAUACAGUCAGAUGGAACUGCCAAAAUAAAGUAUCUCUUUAUUACUUUUAUGUUUUGUUUUGGCAAUGUAGUAUCCACUAAUAUUAGUUUAGAAAACAAAAGUUCUCAUAAAAAUAGGUUUCAUUUUGGAAUCAAUUAUUUGUUAAAUAUUAUGUGUGUGUAUGUAUAUAACUUUUUUUUUUGUUAAAGGUGUAUAUAUAUAACUUACUUUUGAAAAAGAUCGCAUCUCCCUUUGGAACUUCUACGAACAUAUAUCUCCAGCCGUAUGUUUCACGGUCGAUAUAUAGAUAGAAAGAAAUACCCUUAAAGGUGAUUCUAAAGAUGAUGAUAUUUGCAGGAUAUGACGUAAAAGUGGCGCUAUAGUAUGACAGUAUCAGUGACUUGAUGAUCACCACAAAAAAAAAAACUAUCGAGUUUGGUCUUU
rnacentral:lncRNA from 1 species